AUCUGAUGUCAUGAACUACAGAUAGGUUAUGUGAAACAACAUGGCUGUAAACAACCUAAGAAGAGACUUCUGGCAACAAAAUUAUACUGUCUAUUGGUGGUUCCAGAAAAAUGCCCCAAGAAACAAUGGAUUUAUAUUGGGGAAGUGGCCUCAUGAAGGUAGAAGCAUGACUGUCUUGGUAGGCUGCUUCUGUUUUCCUCGAAGGGGUACAACCACAACAGUAGUAAUCUAUGGGUAUAUUAGUUAAACUCAGUUGACUGUAAGAACAAGAAAAGCUAAAAUGUUAAGAGGAUUGGACUCUGCUUCACACUCUUGAUGUUUAUACAUCACAGGAGCUCCAAUAUCAUUGCAUCUCUUCAUUCACUCCACCCCC
rnacentral:lncRNA from 1 species